UCUUUUCUCCUUCACCGUGACACUCUACCCGUUUUGUCCCCUACUUUCCCUUGACUACAUCAUCAGAGACAGAGAGAGUGAGGCCGAAAUGAGUGAAACCGUUAGAGAGAGAGAGAGAGAGAGACGGCGCUGAUGGGAGCGGGCCUUUGGUUGUGUGCAUCGGAAAGUCAGAUCGGAGAGAGAAAGAGCUAGAGGGAGAGAUGAAGAUGGGAGUGGGUGCCGGCCUAUGAUGCUGCUUGUGGAUGUCAGGAUAGGUAACGGUGGUGUGUUUGGGGGAUUCACAGCGGCCAAUAAUCGAGUUCGAUGAUAGUGUUGGUGGUUAAUUUCACGGCGGUGAAGAUGAGUGGUAACUGGUAUAGGUGGUUUGGGUGGGGUAGCAGAGGGGCUGUUGGUGGGUAGGGGCAACGAUUGAUCGUCAGUUGUGGUGUCGUGGGAUUGUCGUGGUUGACCAAAAGGGGGAACCUUCUUUCAAAUCAUCGCAGUCAUCAGAGUUCAAAUAACCACAACGAUGAUGUCUAUUUCUUUGCAACUGGAGUUGAGAAAGUGCAGUUGGUUAACAAUCCUUCUCUUGUGUGUGCUCAUGGCGGUGAUGCUUCCAAGGCCUUCCCUAAUUCAACUGCACUGAGAUUGAUGUUUCCCGUCCUGCUGAUGGGGUUUUGUUUGCUCUUCAUGACAGGGAUUUGCAGCGAUUACCUGGAACAGUUCAUCUAAGGUUGGAUACCUGAGUGCAAAGGAGUUUCUAUAGCAUGUGUCGUUUGUUUAUAUGCAUGUGUAUGUCAGCCGACACCUGCCGCGAAGCGCGGGGGUAUCUACUAGUUAUAUAUAUAAAAGAUGAAAUGCUUAGCUACAGUAAAAUAAAAAUCUGUCUUUUAAUGAAUGAAAAUUGUAAUGAUUUUAGUAAAAUGAAAAUUUUAUAUGCAUGAAUAGAAAGAGUUGAUGCA